rnacentral:tRNA from 1 species
UGGAGUGUAGCUUAGUGGUAGAGCUCUUGCCUAGCAUGCAUGAGGCUUUGAAUUUAGUCUCUAGCACUACAA